CUUCAUAUUUGCAAAUUUAACACCCAAAAAAAACCCCAGAAGCAAUAUGAGCUAGAGGACUGAAUAAGACGGAAAACCGAUUCCAUAGACCAAGCAGCGGAGUAGAGAACAUCUAGAAGGGACCCAACGCCUUCCAAAGUUGUUGAGGUGGCAGCACCCGAACCAAAUGUGUCCCAGAGGAACUCUAAAGGUCAGCCAAUGAAAAGAUCC